rnacentral:rRNA from 1 species
GUGAGGAAUAUUGGUCAAUGGGCGAGAGCCUGAACCAGCCAAGUCGCGUGAAGGAAGAAGGAUCUAUGGUUCGUAAACUUCUUUUGCAGGGGAAUAAAGUGCGGGACGUGUCCUGUUUUGUAUGUACCCUGAGAAUAAGGAUCGGCUAACUCCGUGCCAGCAGCCGCGGUAAUACGGAGGAUCCGAGCGUUAUCCGGAUUUAUUGGGUUUAAAGGGCGCGUAGGUGGUUUGAUAAGUCAGCGGUGAAAGUUUGCAGCUUAACUGUAAAAAUGCCGUUGAAACUGUCGGACUUGAGUGUAAAUGAGGUAGGCGGAAUGCGUGGUGUAGCGGUGAAAUGCAUAGAUAUCACGCAGAACUCCGAUUGCGAAGGCAGCUUACUAGGCUACAACUGACACUGAAGCACGAAAGCGUGGGGAUCAAACAGGAUUAGAAACCCUAGUAGUCC